GUGCCAGCAGCCGCGGUAAUACGUAGGCAGCAAACGUUGUUCGGAAUUACUGGGCGUAAAGAGUGUGUAGGCGGUUUCGUAAGUUUGGUGUGAAAUCUCCCGGCUUAACUGGGAGGGUGCGCCGAAAACUGCGAGGCUUGAGUACUGGAGAGGAGAGCGGAAUUCCUGGUGUAGCGGUGAAAUGCGUAGAUAUCAGGAGGAACACCGGUGGUGUAGACGGCUCUCUGGACAGUCACUGACGCUGAGACACGAAAGCGUGGGGAGCAAACAGGAUUAGAAACCCGCGUAGUCC
rnacentral:rRNA from 1 species